rnacentral:rRNA from 1 species
GAUGAACGCUGGCGGCGUGCCUAAUACAUGCAAGUCGAGCGAACAGAUGAGGAGCUUGCUCCUCUGACGUUAGCGGCGGACGGGUGAGUAACACGUGGAUAACCUACCUAUAAGACUGGGAUAACUACGGGAAACCGGAGCUAAUACCGGAUAAUAUAUUGAACCGCAUGGUUCAAUAGUGAAAGACGGUUUUGCUGUCACUUAUAGAUGGAUCCGCGCCGCAUUAGCUAGUUGGUAAGGUAACGGCUUACCAAGGCAACGAUGCGUAGCCGACCUGAGAGGGUGAUCGGCCACACUGGAACUGAGACACGGUCCAGACUCCUACGGGAGGCAGCAGUAGGGAAUCUUCCGCAAUGGGCGAAAGCCUGACGGAGCAACGCCGCGUGAGUGAUGAAGGUCUUCGGAUCGUAAAACUCUGUUAUUAGGGAAGAACAAAUGUGUAAGUAACUAUGCACGUCUUGACGGUACCUAAUCAGGAAGCCACGGCUAACUACGUG